rnacentral:rRNA from 1 species
CCUACGGGGGGCAGCAGUGAGGGAUAUUGCACAAUGGGGGGAACCCUGAUGCAGCGACGCCGCGUGGGCGAUGGAGCGCCUCGGCGCGUAAAGCCCUAUCAGCAGGGAAGAAGAUGACGGUACCUGACUAAGAAGCCCCGGCUAAAUACGUGCCAGCAGCCGCGGUAAUACGUAUGGGGCAAGCGUUAUCCGGAUUUAUUGGGUUUAAAGGGUGCGUAGGCGGAUUUUUAAGUCAGCGGUAAAAUGUCCGGGCUCAACCCGGGCCGGCCGUUGAAACUGGGGAUCUUGAGUGGGCGAGAAGUAUG